rnacentral:rRNA from 1 species
GAUGAACGCUGGCGGCGUGCCUAAUACAUGCAAGUCGAGCGAACAGACGAGGAGCUUGCUCCUCUGACGUUAGCGGCGGACGGGUGAGUAACACGUGGAUAACCUACCUAUAAGACUGGGAUAACUUCGGGAAACCGGAGCUAAUACCGGAUAAUAUAUUGAACCGCAUGGUUCAAUAGUGAAAGACGGUUUUGCUGUCACUUAUAGAUGGAUCCGCGCCGCAUUAGCUAGUUGGUAAGGUAACGGCUUACCAAGGCAACGAUGCGUAGCCGACCUGAGAGGGUGAUCGGCCACACUGGAACUGAGACACGGUCCAGACUCCUACGGGAGGCAGCAGUAGGGAAUCUUCCGCAAUGGGCGAAAGCCUGACGCAGCCACGCCGCGUGAGUGAUGAAGGUCUUCGGAUCGUAAAACGCUGUUAUUAGGGAAGAACAACUGUGUAAGUAUCUAUCGACGGCUUGACGGUACCGGAUCAGAAAGCACCGGCUAACUACGUG